CACAGAGACACCUCAACGAACCUCACAUGCCUUUUAAAAAAACUCAUUAAUGAGAUUACUUUGAAAUAAAGUUUUACUAAUUUUCCAGCAAUGCUUUCUUGUACGUUGCAUUUUCAAUGCUGAUCACAUUGAUUAGGAAGUUGGUAGAGUUGAUACCUGCAUAUAUUCCUGCAUUCUCCAUCAAUAUGGCCUGCAUACCAUAACGGAGACAUCACCAAGAUAAGACAUAGCCUCUAUUUCCCAUAACUCCCCUGCCACCAGUGACAACUGGAGUGUGUGAAUGUCAUCCGGUUGUAUAUACUCAUCAUAGACUGGCAAUAGUUUUUCUACUAAAUAAAGAGUUAAAUACAACAGGGACACAGUCAAAUCCCAUAUAAUUAUAAUGGCGUGGUAAAUCAGUGGGUAGGAAUGGGUUUUGUUCCAGUAAUGAACUUUUGGCAUUUCAUAGUUCCAGCCUUUGGCAAGUAGCUUGUCUAAACCUUCUUCAUUCCAUCUCUUACUUUGUCCUGCAGCUUGCAUCUAAUCAAUGAUCUAGGAACCGUCAGUACACAACCCUUUUAUCUCUUCAAAUGUCAGCCUAAUACGAACACAUGCCAAGUAUUGUUUUACCAGUGAAAGAAUUUCUUGGAAUUUUGGAUUACAUUAAUAUUAAUGUGACCUUGUUUUAAAAUUUUGAUAUAAAAAGUAGAAAUUGUCUAAGGACAUAGGGAAAUUGUUAAUCCACAAAGAAUGCUCCUUUAACCAACAUCUAAUUUAUGCUUUAUAUAUACACGGCUGGUCUUUCUAUAUUGAAUUAAAGAAAGAACUAUGUUUAGUUGUCUUGUCGCUGCUCAUCACAUUCAGGAAAAAAACAAAAAACUACUUGCAUUUAUUAAUGAGCCAAAGUUUCUCAAGUUUCCAAUUUCAUUCAGCGGAAAGGGAAAUUGUUAAUAUAUAUCUGAUUGAAAUUCCGUUUUAAGUUAACCAUUUUAAAUUGAAUUAUACAGAGCAAACGUAUUAGGUGUACUGACCAUAGUACUUAAUUGCAGUGGG